AUUGAACGCUGGCGGCAGGCUUAACACAUGCAAGUCGAGAGGGGUGAUGGUGCUUGCACUAUCACUUAGCGGCGGACGGGUGAGUAAUGCUUAGGAAUCUGCCUAUUAGUGGGGGACAACGUCUCGAAAGGGAUGCUAACACCGCAUACGUCCUACGGGAGAAAGCAGGGGAUCACUUGUGACCUUGCGCUAAUAGAUGAGCCUAUGUCGGAUUAGCUAGUUGGUGGGGUAAAGGCCUACCAAGGCGACGAUCUGUAGCGGGUCUGAGAGGAUGAUCCGCCACACUGGGACUGAGACACGGCCCAGACUCCUACGGGAGGCAGCAGUGGGGAAUAUUGGACAAUGGGGGGAACCCUGAUCCAGCCAUGCCGCGUGUGUGAAGAAGGCCUUAUGGUUGUAAAGCACUUUAAGCGAGGAGGAGGCUCUUUUGGUUAAUACCCAAGAUGAGUGGACGUUACUCGCAGAAUAAGCACCGGCUAACUCUGUGCCAGCCGCCGCCGUAA
rnacentral:rRNA from 1 species